rnacentral:rRNA from 1 species
CCUACGGGGGGCAGCAGUGAGGAAUAUUGGUCAAUGGGCGCGAGCCUGAACCAGCCAAGUCGCGUGAAGGAUGAAUGCCCUACGGGUUGUAAACUUCUUUUAUCAAGGAAUAAAGUCAGGCACGUGUGCCUUUUUGUGUGUACUUUAUGAAUAAGCAUCGGCUAACUCCGUGCCAGCAGCCGCGGUAAUACGGAGGAUCCGAGCGUUAUCCGGAUUUAUUGGGUUUAAAGGGAGCGUAGAUGGGUUGUUAAGUCAGUUGUGAAAGUUUGCGGCUCAACCGUAAAAUUGCAAUUGAUACUGGCAGCCUUGAGUAGAGUAGAGGUAUGCGGAAUGCGUGGUGUAGCGGUGAAAUGCUUAGAUAUCACGAAGAACUCCGAUUGCGAAGGCAGCUUACUAAACUGCCACUGACAUUGAUGCUCGAAAGUGUGGGUAUCAAACAGGAUUAGAUACCCCGGUAGUC